rnacentral:rRNA from 1 species
GAUGAACGCUGGCGGCGUGCCUAAUACAUGCAAGUCGAGCGAACAGACGAGGAGCUUGCUCCUCUGACGUUAGCGGCGGACGGGUGAGUAACACGUGGAUAACCUACCUAUAAGACUGGGAUAACUUCGGGAAACCGGAGCUAAUACCGGAUAAUAUAUUGAACCGCAUGGUUCAAUAGUGAAAGACGGUUUUGCUGUCACUUGUAGAUGGAUCCGCGCCGCAUUAGCUAGUUGGUAAGGUAACGGCUUACCAAGGCGACGAUGCGUAGCCGACCUGAGAGGGUGAUCGGCCACACUGGAACGGAGACACGGUCCAGACUCCUACGGGAGGCAGCAGUAGGGAAUCUUCCGCAAUGGGCGAAAGCCUGACGGAGCAACGCCGCGUGAGUGAUGAAGGUCUUCGGAUCGUAAAACUCUGUUAUUAGGGAAGAACAAAUGUGUAAGUAACUAUGCACGUCUUGACGGUACCUAAUCAGAAAGCCACGGCUAACUACGUG